rnacentral:rRNA from 1 species
UACGUAGGGUGCGAGCGUUGUCCGGAAUUAUUGGGCGUAAAGAGCUUGUAGGCGGUUUGUCGCGUCUGCUGUGAAAAUCCGGGGCUCAACCCCGGACUUGCAGUGGGUACGGGCAGACUAGAGUGUGGUAGGGGAGACUGGAAUUCCUGGUGUAGCGGUGAAAUGCGCAGAUAUCAGGAGGAACACCGAUGGCGAAGGCAGGUCACUGGGCCGCAACUGACGCUGGAGGAAGCGGAAAGCAUGGGGAGCGAACAGG